UGUGUGUGUGCGCUCCAGGUGUGCAUGUGCCCCAAGUGUGUGUGUGCUCCAGGUGUGGUUGUGCUCCAGGUGUACAUGUGCCCCGUGUGUGUGUGCUCCAGGUGUACAUGUGCCCCGUGUGUGUGCUCCAGGUGUGGCUGUGCUCCAGGUGUACAUGCCCCAGGUGUGUGCGCUCCAGGUGUGCAUGUGCUCUAUGUGUGUGUCUUCCAGUUGUGUGUGUGUUCCAGGUGUGGCUGUGUCCCAGGUGUGUGUGUGCUUCAGGUGUGUGUGUUAUCCAGGUGGUUGUAUUUCCCAGGUACUCAGGGUGAGUUUGGGAAAAUAGCAGGACAUUUCUACACCAGGGGGGACAAGCUGAUUUCCCAGGUGGCCCCCUCAUGCCAGCCCCUCUGUGGGGUCUCCAUACCCCUCAUCAUCUGAGGCCUGGCGCACAAUGGAGCUCAGAGACUGAAGGAAGGAAGGAAGGGCUGUAGGAGGGGAUGAUGGUGUGCGGUUGACCUGACUCUGGGUCAGAUGUCCCAUGGGGCUGCCUCAACCUGGAGUGGAGUGUCCGAGCUGGAACGGGGGUCCUAGCCCCACUCUGUGAGGCGAGAAACUGAGACUUGGAGUGAAGAAGAGAUGGGGCUUCCCAGGACCUGGUGGGUGGAGUGCAAGGAGACCCAGCUGGUGUGGCUGGGUCUGUGGUGAGGCCCUGGGAGGGGAGGGGGACGCAUGCAGACAGAGGCGCCUGCCCGCCCGCAGAGUGCCAGCUGAUGAAGACGGAGCGGCCCCGGCCCAACACCUUCAUCAUCCGCUGCCUGCAGUGGACCACCGUCAUCGAGCGCACCUUCCACGUGGAGACGCCUGAGGAGCGGUACGCGGGCUGCAGCGGCUAGGCCGGGCAGCUUGGGCAGCCCCAGUGUCUAGGAGGGACACGGGGAUGGUGGGUGCUGGCCUCAUUCCCCAGUGCUCCUAGGCCCUCCUCAGAGCCUAGCUUGGAAACUGGCCCAGUCCUGCCUGGGGUGUUUUGGUGGGGAAACUGAGGCUGGAGAUAAAAACUGGGUAGGGGCCAGGUGCGGUGGCUCACAUCUGUAAUCUCAGCACUUUUGGAGGCCGAGGCAGGUGGAUCACCUGAGGUCAGGAGUUGGGAGACCAGCCUGGCCAACAUGGUGAAACCCCAUCUCUGCUUAAAAUACAAAA
rnacentral:lncRNA from 13 species